UACCAUAGCUCUGGGCACCACUUAAAUGUUGAAAAUAUUAGCUUCAGGGUUUGAAAUGACAACCUUGGCAACUAAACAACAGUAGUAAUUUUCCUUAUUAUUCAUCCAAACUACAAAAUUAUAUAUUGGGUUCCUGACCCUAUAAGGAGUCUAUCGACAAGGGAGUAGAAUAAUGGCGCUCAGCACUAGCCCUGGAAAGACAUCUCCACCCACACACAAACACUGAGAGAAGCAGAGGGAUGUGAGUUGUUCGCAUGCACACCCAGAGAGAGAACAUGAGCAUGGACCUCGUACAUCUCCGGAGGAGAGGAGUCACUGAUGAGGAAGAGCCCUCGCUCCUGAUUGGCUAUCUCCCUAAUCAUGAGGUUCUGCAGGGAGAGGACCGGAGACUUGUCCUGAAAAGAGAAAGAGAGAGAAAAAUAAGGGAACACUAGGAUGUCUGUCAUCAGCAGGACCUGCACAUCUAAACACACACACACACACACACACACACACGAAUCCGCACACACGCACACACACAAAAUAAAAACCUCCUUUAAAACAUGAGUAAGCAACAUGUUUUGGGGAUAGUUCCAUCCCCUACAAUGCCUUCAGAAAGUAUUCACAACCCUUUAGUUUUUUCCAAUGUCGAUGUGUUAUAGCCUAAAUUUAGAAUGGAUUCAAUUGAGAUAUUUUGUCACUGGCCUACACACAAUAAAUACCGCGUUAUGUCAAAGUGGAAUUAUGUUUCCCCCCCCAAAAAAGCUGAGUCAAUAACAAUUUAACCCCUUUGUUAUGGCAAGCCUAGGACAGGAGUAAGCAUUUGCUUAACAAAUCAUAAUAAUGGUGUUUACCAUGUUUGAGUGACUACCCCACACAUACAAUUAUCUGUAAGGUCAGUCAAGCAGUUAAUUUCAAGUACAGAUUCAACCAAAAAUACCAGGGAGGUUUUCUCAUGCCUCGCAAAGAAGGGCACCUAUUGGUAGAUGGGUAAACAUUUAAAAAAGCAGACACUGAAUUUCCCUUUGAGCAUGGUGAAUUUAGUAAUUAGACUU